rnacentral:lncRNA from 1 species
CUGUGUUAUGAUGAAAGUCUUUAGGACUAUUUUAAAUCGAUAAAGGAGGAUUUAUUAUUUAAUCCUUAAAUGAGUUCAUAUCCAAAUGAUAUGCUAUUACUAGGAUGAUAGACAUAUCAAGUGUAGGUCAUUGUGUGCCAUAUAGGUUGGUUGUCCUCUUAACCAAGCAGCGUAGAGAUGCUGGUAUGGUAUGCAGGUAAAAUAUAGGAGUACAUUUCACUGAAUGU